rnacentral:lncRNA from 1 species
UCAGGUCGACACAUAAAGUACCAGAAAUCAAGGAAAUAUUUUUUGUUACUCACAGGUCGACACAUACACCUUACAGAUCGGCACAUACUGAAACUUUUAGUAUAUGUGUCGACACAUACCAGUUCAGGUCGACACAUGUCAGUAUUUUUGCUCCUUGAAUUUUUCUGUCAUCCAGAGGUCGACACGUAACUUGCAUAGGUAAGAACGUG